UGGGGAAUCUUGGACAAUGGGCGCAAGCCUGAUCCAGCCAUGCCGCGUGGAUGAUGAAGGCCUUAGGGUUGUAAAAUCCUUUCGCCGAGGACGAUAAUGACGGUACUCGGAGAAGAAGCUCCGGCUAACUUCGUGCCAGCAGCCGCGGUAAUACGAAGGGGGCUAGCGUUGUUCGGAUUUACUGGGCGUAAAGCGCGUGUAGGCGGGCUGGUAAGUUGGGGGUGAAAUCCCGAGGCUCAACCUCGGAACUGCCUCCAAAACUGUCAGCCUGGACCCAAGUAGAGGCAAGUGGAAUUGCGAGUGUAGAGGUGAAAUUCGUAGAUAUUCGCAGGAACACCAGUGGCGAAGGCGACUUGCUGGACUUGUGGUGACGCUGAGACGCGAAAGCGUGGGGGAGCAAA
rnacentral:rRNA from 1 species